AAAAACGGGCUCAGCUGUGAUUUGUGGCUCAGCGUCUGCUGUUUGCUGAGCAAGUCCCUGGAUAAUUUGGAUACUGUUGCGGCCACCUCAGAUGUUGAUAUAAAACAGGAAGAGGCAGUAAGAAGUACAUUCCAUUUAAAUAAUCAAACCAAAUGCAAACACGUGUACACCACAGCUGCUUCGGAGGAAACGGCUCCAGCUCCCUGGUUUCCUCCAACUGGGGGCCUUCUGUCUUUUCCAAACGGGUGUUUGUCUUCCAGCUUUCAUCUGGAAGUGCAAAACUCAGGUUGCUUUCUUCUAUUUGACCAGCUCACACCAGAAAGUCCUGCCUUAGAGCCAGACAUUAUCAUGGCAAAUGUCCAGCAGACCAGAUAUGGGGUGAUCAGUUGUUUGAAGGUAAAAGGUAAGAGCUAUGAAGCCAUGUUACAAGAAAUCUGUGUUUACUGCGACAUUGAAGAGCCUCAGCUCACGGAUGUAUAAGGUGAGUUGGACAGCAUCAGCCUUAUAGGGCUGAAAGGCAACCCCCGGGGCAGUAUCCUUAAUGCGGCAAUUUAAUAGACACGAUGUGACCAGGUCACACUGUUCCUGGGACAGGGUGGGCAGUGACUUACUGAGCAUCAUUUGGAAUCUUUUAAUCUUGUCAUGCGUGCCACCAAACUUGUAUCACUCAAUACUAUGCCUGUUCCAAACACUACUGAGUUGUGCACCAUAGUCCUCAAAUCCUGAUUUUCACCUGCCAGCUCAUGCUCUCAGAUCCUAUGCUCAUCUCCAGGCUCAGACCUUCACUGACGCAUGUGCCCCCUCCACUCCCAACUAGAAGUCAACCAUGGCAUUUAAACACAGUGACAGUGGCAGGUAUCUUCAAAACAAAGACUCUGAGUCACACCGAUGUUUGCAUGAACCCAUUUGUAUCUGGCAUUAGCUUUCCAUUCUUGAGUGAGUUACUUAAUCUCUGAGCUUUGUAUCCUUAACUGGGAAAUGGGGUUAACAUGUGAGUCAUGAUGAUGAAUGAAUAGGAUGGCAUUGGGGAGAGGAUGAUAAAUUUGUCAACAGCAGUGGGUAUGGUAGGGUAGGGUGAGGCAGGGUUAAGUAUGGGUCUGCCGUUCACCAGUUGCAGGUCUUAGGGAGUCUAUUUGGGUUCUAUGGGCCUCGGUUUCUUUAACUUUAGAAUAAGGGUAAGAGUAGCACAAUCUUUAUAGUAUUGUGUCUAGUAAGGAUGGAAAGCCAUGUACGUAUUUAAUGCAAGCAUUGAGUUCAACGUCCAACACACAGUAAAGGUGAGUCCAGCAUGGAUAGCGUGCUUUGGACUGGACAGCCUGGCGACCCACACUCUGCAGAUGGCAACUCUUAUUAUUCUGUCCAUACUGUGGCCAAGCAGCGAACUCCUAGGUGUUCAGUUGAAGUAACAGAGCUCAGGAGAGGUAGAAUGAAUAGUGCAGGGUUUUGCACACAGUGAAAGGUAAGAUCGAAGAGCAACCCA
rnacentral:lncRNA from 13 species